rnacentral:rRNA from 1 species
UGGGGAAUUUUACGCAAUGGGCGAAAGCCUGACGUAGCGACACCGCGUGAGCGAAGAAGCCCCUUGGGGCGUAAAGCUCUGUCAGCUGGAACGAAAGAAAUGACGGUACCAGCAGAGGAAGCAUCGGCUAGCUACGUGCCAGCAGCCGCGGUAAGACGUAGGAUGCAAGCGUUGUCCGGAUUUAUUGGGCGUAAAGAGUUCGUAGGUGGUUUGUUAAGUUUGGUGUUAAAGAUUGGGGCUCAACCCUGAAACUGCACUGAAUACUGGCAGACUCGAGUGUGGUAGAGGCUAGUGGAAUUCCCAGUGUAGCGGUGAAAUGCGUAGAUAUUGGGAAGAACACCGGUGGCGUAGGCGACUAGCUGGGCCAUAACUGACACUGAGGAACGAAAGCCAGGGGAGCGAAUGGGAUUAGAUACCCCAGUAGUCCUGGCCGUAAACGAUGGAUACUAGGCGUAUCGGGUAUCGACCCCUGAUGUGCCGCAGCUAACGCGAUAAGUAUCCCGCCUGAGUAGUACGGCCGCAAGGUUG